rnacentral:rRNA from 1 species
GACGAACGCUGGCGGCGUGCCUAAUACAUGCAAGUCGAACGCAGUGGGGACGGGUGAGUAACCCGUGGUUAACCUCCCCAUCAGAGGGGAUAACACUUGGAAACAGGUGCUAAACCGAAACUGAUGGAUGGACUCGCGGUGCAUUAGCUAGUUGGUGAGGUAACGGCUCACCAAGGCAACGAUGCAUAGCCGACCUGAGAGGGUGAUCGGCCACAGUGGAACUGAGACACGGUCCAGACUCAUACGGGAGGCAGCAGUAGGGAAUCUUCGGCAAUGGACGAAAGUCUGACCGAGCAACGCCGCGUGAGUGAAGAAGGUUUUCGGAUCGUAAAACUCUGUUGUUAGAGAAGCGGUAUCUAACCAGAAAGCCACGGCUAACUACGUGCCAGCAGCCGCGGUAAUUC